UGACCAUCUGUACCUCAAAAGAAAAUUUGGGCGGACAAAAGCUACAGAACAACCUCGAGAAAUGAUUCUUGCAAAGCCAGGUUGGUGAGGUCUGACAGGUUUUGUCACUUGAUGGAGGUAGACAUGCUCACUGCAUUGGAGUGACAGAGGGAAUCCUGCAGGAAGAUUGACUGUACGCCUGGGUGAAUGACUAAGCUUUUAUGGAAAUAACCUCAUGCUGUGGCACCUGUCACCUAUUGCAGGAGACUGGCAGGAUAUUGGAGAAUUGGAUUGGAGUUGGUAGCAAUUAGAGCACUGGCCAUGUGUGAAGAUCUAUCAAAACUCAUUCAGUAGCUGAUAAAUAUGCAAUGCUGCCUUACAGGAGGAGAUACAACACUGCACAAACUCCAAAGGUGCCAGAAUGGAAGGAAAAGAGGAGGAGAAACAUCAUCACUGAAUUUGACAGAGCAGACUCACGUCUUUUGGAAAUCCCACACGCUGUACUCUGGCCAGUUGAUGUAGCACACGACACGUCCUGGCAGCUGUGCAGUGCUGGAAAAAUAG